rnacentral:rRNA from 1 species
UGGGGAAUUUUGGACAAUGGGCGAAAGCCUGAUCCAGCAAUGCCGCGUGUGUGAAGAAGGCCUUCGGGUUGUAAAGCACUUUUGUCCGGAAAGAAAUCCUCUGGGUUAAUACCUCGGGGGGAUGACGGUACCGGAAGAAUAAGCACCGGCUAACUACGUGCCAGCAGCCGCGGUAAUACGUAGGGUGCAAGCGUUAAUCGGAAUUACUGGGCGUAAAGCGUGCGCAGGCGGUUUUGUAAGACGGAUGUGAAAUCCCCGGGCUUAACCUGGGAACUGCAUUCGUGACUGCAAGGCUAGAGUAUGGCAGAGGGGGGUUAGAAUUCCACGUGUAGCAGUGAAAUGCGUAGAGAUGUGGAGGAGUACCGAUGGCGAAGGCAGCCCCCUGGGCCAAUACUGACGCUCAUGCACGAAAGCGUGGGGAGCAAACAGGAUUAGAUACCCUGGUAGUCCACGCCCUAAACGAUGUCAACUAGUUGUUGGGGAUUCAUUUCCUUAGUAACGUAGCUAACGCGUGAAGUUGACCGCCUGGGGGAGUACGGUCGCAAGAUU